rnacentral:lncRNA from 1 species
GUUCCAGGCUCCUUGACUUUUUUAUAAUUAAAUUGUGUGUGUGUGUGUAUAUAUACCUGUGAGUUCCUGCAGACAUGCACACACAGAGAAGACACUGUACUGUGUACUUUUGGAGGCCAGAGGGUAAUUUAUGGGAGUCAGUUUUUUUUUCUUUAAUCAUGAAGGGCCCUGGAUAUUAAACUCAGAUUGUGAGGUUUGAUGGCAAACACCUUCACCAAUGAGCUGAUUCACUAGUACUGGUUGACCUGGGGUUCUCUACUUAGAAUAAGCUGAUCUCACUUGAUGCAUCAGGGAGGGGUGAUGCCCAGGGGGGCUUCACCCUCUCAGAGGAGAUGGAUGGAAGAGGAUGGGAAGGAAAUUUAUGAGGGGGGAGCAGGAAGGAGAUAGUGGGGUGGGUGGCUAUAUGGAAGAGUUUGGAGGGAAGAAAGGAAAGGGAGAAAGGUCCUGAGUAUAUUAUAAUCCCCCAAAUAAAAUAUAAAUAUAGGGAAAAAAGGAAAUAGACCAGGCUAUUCUAAAAUCCAUGGAGAUCCUGAGGGGUGGGAUGAUGAUUUAUACUGAAAUGCCUGGCUUCAAUCUUACUUUAUUUCAAUCAAUGGUAAUUUCCCUCAAGCAUCAGGGGGAAGAAGCUGUACCAAUUUCCCUCUUUUUCAUCUUGUCUGUAUUAGGGACAUGCUAUGUAGAAAUAAAAAGCUCUACAACAGUGCUAUAGACCUGCCCUCAAAUUUCCUAUAAUAACUUCAGAGUACAGAGGUGAUGGUAUACUUCCUACCCCUAUUUUUGAAGUGAGCAUUUCAUAAAUACACAAAUAUGUCAAAGAAUAGAAACAACAAACCUGUGUCUGUCAUGAACACAAAUGUAAAGCAUAACAACAUAUCAGUCCAUUGUCCAAGUGUGGCUUGCUCAAGCCUGUCAUGCCAAGACUUAGGAGUCAAAGGGAGAAAGAUCAAUAAUAACCUGAUCUGAAUGGAUACCUCCAGGCCAGGAUAGACACAGCAUAUUAGGAACUUUGAAAAAAAAAAACCUCCAAAUAUAAAAAAGAAUCACACACGUGACUCUAGGUUUACACACACAGUACCCUAAAGCCAGGAUUCCCUCCACCUGUUCUUCCUUUGCCCAGACAUAAGCCUGCCAAAGGGCUUCUGGUGUCUGGAGGAGCAUGACCUAGGAGGAGGGGGUAGAAACAUAGAAGAUGGGAGAGAACACUGCACCUGGUGAUGCAUGGUGUCUUAAGGGAAGGGAGCAGGUAAAUUUAUCCCCAGAUAAACACAAGCAUUAUUCAGAAAAACUCUCAUACAGAAAAAUUGCAAUGUAUAAUAAUACGUUAUAAUUAAAAAUCAGUACACCACUCUUGGAAAUAACUGCCACAUGAAUCAGAGCUCUAUACAAGCAACAUAAGAAAUGCACAUUUUACCAGGGUAGGAGCGUACCCAGGGGAUCCCCACCAGCUCAGAAGAGAAGGGGAUGGGGGAAGGAGUGUGGGAGGGGAUAACUGGAAGAGGGACAAUGAGCAGUAUGUAAAAUGAAUAUAAUAAUAAUAAUAAUAAUAGUAGUAAUAACAAUAAUAAUGAAAAAUACCCAUUUUACCCUGGUCUUCCAGUAUUUUAAUACCUCCCACAUUUGUUAUGUAUUGCCUAUACCACAUAUAUCUAUCUACCGAGUAAAAUCCUAUAACAAAUAAUUAAUCAUCAUUAUGACCGUGAUCGUCAUCAUCCUUUUAGAACACUGUUAGUACGAAUAGGUUCGUUACCAUGCCUUUGAAAUAUCGAAUCAGCAUGAAAUAGUCUGUCCUGAGGAACUCUUGUAACCCUGUAAGGAGAAAAGGGAGAAUGUGUUUUGCUGGGCACAGAAUCUUGAAGAAGUAAGAUGAGGGAAAAAAUGUGCUCUGCAGAGUAGUCUGUGAGUUGUCUGGACAUGGUCAACCAUAAAAUGAGGCCCUGCUCUGAUGUUUCCAGGUAAGUGUCAAGUAGAGAAGGGGGAGGAUGCCUUCAAAAUGCACUCUUGUCCUGUGCUACUGAUGAAGGGUGUGGCAGGAGAGAACAGCUCCAUCAUUCAACAGAGACCUCUCCUGCUCCUGUGUGACAGGCAGAGCCCUUGGCUCAUCUGAUGAUAUCAGUGUCUCUUUUCACAGACACCUUCACCUAGGCCUCCCAUGUUACCUCUCAUCUCAUUAUCCAAGAAUCUCAUGUCAUUUUCCAUUCAAUGGGUGGAUUCAUAACUUUUAUUUGAACUGACAUUUAAUGCUGUUCUGCUCCAAUGUGGCCUUGCCUAACCCGGUACUGAGUAUUGCCUCUGCAAGACCAAAAGCCAUGGGUCUGUUUUUGUAACCAAUGCUCACCAUAGGGCUUAGGCUGAGAAGGAAACUUUGAUCAUCAUGGAGUUGUGUAUGUCAGUCACUGGUGAGUGUCAUGGUUGAACUGUUUUCCAGGACACUUUCAGGGUCAGGAAAACAGCUCACGAAAUUGACAGGUUCAACUGAACUCAACAGAGAAUCAAGGGCUCUAAUUUGUGUGAAUCAUGCAUCUGAAGGUGAGAUUGAGUACAGUCAGCCUGUUUGUGGUAGAGGAUGAGUUACUGAAGCCUGGUCUUGAUGUAAUGAAGAAAAGAAACACAUGAGGUGGCUUAGGCCAGCAUCUCCUACACAGAGGGAACGUUAUCUUUAACUUGCUUUACUGAAGAGGCUGAGACACUGCUAUGGAAAGAAGUUGUCCAGCUGGAUUGGAUAAUAGCACUGUAUAGGCAGGAACAGUGCAAUGGGAUGAGCAGCAGAUUCUGGUAGCUAGAAAGUUAUAAGUGCUAAGCAUUUACCUCCCUCAGUUAAUAUCUUUUGUAUAGUUAGAUUAAAGACAUAAAGGACACUCCUUACCCAACUCACUACAUAGUUGUUUUUAGGGGAUCAGGAGUGGACAUUAGAUAGUCCUUCUGCUGUUCCACAC